rnacentral:rRNA from 1 species
UACAUGGGGUGCAAACGUUGCUCAGAAUCAUUGGGCGUAAAGCGCGCGUAGGCGGUUACUUAAGUUGGAUGUGAAAGCCCUCGGCUUAACCGAGGAAGUGCAUCCAAAACUGAGUAGCUAGAGUACGAAAGAGGGUCGCGGAAUUCCCGGUGUAGAGGUGAAAUUCGUAGAUAUCGGGAGGAACACCGGUGGCGAAGGCGGCGACCUGGGUCGAGACUGACGCUGAGGCGCGAAAGCGUGGGGAGCAAACAGG